UCCCUGGUGGCCUAGUAGUGAAGGAUAUGGCAUUGUCACUGCUGUGGCUUAGGUUUGAUCCCUAACCUGGUAA
rnacentral:tRNA from 1 species